GCACUGCCCGCCGACUGCGGCCUCGAGCACCAUCUGGCGGCCGCACAGCCUUACUGCAAGCCCUGCCCGAGGGAGCCGGUCGCCAUCUGGUGGCUGCGCUCGGAACUUCGCCCGGCGGGGAGCAGGACUGCGUGCAGGGUGUGGGAGCCUGGGUCAGGCAGGAAAAUAUGAUACGCUUCUGCCUCAUCACUACCAUUUCUGCUGAGACCCUUGGAGCACAUGUGGGAGGCGCCAGCAACUCGGCUCACAACGAGGGCAGCACAGUGUCGCCUCCGAAUCUGUUCCAGGGCCUUUUCCUAAAGGCCAGGGGCCUGGAGACAAAGUGGGUUUUGAUUUUGUACCUGAGAGGUGGCCCCCAGAGGUGGGGGAGCUGGGCCUCCCCACAGGGCCAUGUGGACGCGGGCAGCUGCCCCAGGGAGGAGGGGACCAUUUCCACCUUUCUCAGCUGCCCCUUUGCCCAAGUGCAGCUGCUCCAUUAGGCAUCAUGGCGCCCACAGGCUCAUGAAGGCAGAGGAAAUGGGGUGCUUCCCUUAGAUUCAUAGCAGGAAGUCAGAGGUAUGACCUGGUCAAUUCUCAGCCAAACCAGAUCACUGGGAACAGCUGUCCACACAAAGGGGUCUGGAAGAGGCACCUGAAUUUCUAUCCUAAUGCCCCCAACUUUUACUUCUCCCAGCCCUGCUAGCAUCACAGAGGCUAGGCCCGGUCCCCGAAGGUCCCCCGGGACUGGGAGGAGCAGGAGCAGAUUAGGUCAUAGAUCAAGUGGGCCUACGGCAGUGGUCGGCAAACUCAUUAGUCAACAGAGCCAAAUAUCAACAAUACAACAAUUGAAAUUUCUUUUGAGAGCCAAUUUUUUAAAACUUAAACUAUAUAGGUAGGUACAUUGUUGUUAACUUAAUUAGGGUACUCCUAAGGCUUAGGAAGAGCCACACUCAAGGGGCCAAAGAGCCACAUGUGGCUCGAGAGCCGCAGUUUACCAACCACUGGCCUAAGGGAUUGGAACUCAUGUCUUCAGGGAUGAGGCAGGUAGGAGCGGGGAGGGCGAUAGAGAGCAGUGGGGACUGUGGUGCUCCAGAGCUCAUGCCCAUCAGAAGGCAUAGCAGCCACUCGACCGCAGCCCAUGCCGCCACGUGGAAAGAUGGGCGCAGGGUGGCCAGAAUGUACGAUUUCUCAGGGAAGGUUGGAAAUCUGGCUUUUAAUGAGAAAUUUUUUAAGCGCUGUGUCAGUUGAAUUGAAUACAUCUUUUUUUU